UAUUGGUGAUGUAGACAGUCCCUGAGAAGAGACUUAAAUCUCUCCUAUGCAUGAUAGAGAUUCUCAUCAGGGUUUUAAUUAAAACUCAGGAUCUCAUUCCUCAACCU
rfam:Capsicum annuum cultivar Zunla-1 chromosome 3, whole genome shotgun sequence